AAGGGCACCACAAGAACGCGUGGAGCAUGUGGCUUAAUUUGACUCAACGCGGGAAAUCUUACCGGGUCCGGACACACUGAGGAUUGACAGGCAAUAUUAUAAUUUUUUAAUUGAAAUAAAUUUUUAUUAAUUUAUUUUUUUUAUUUUUUAUAUGUUAAAUAUGCUAGUCCUUUCAUGAUUAUGUGAUAGGUGGUGCAUGGCCGUUCUUAGUUCGUGGAGUGAUCUGUCUGCUUAAUUGCGUUUCACUAUUGGGCUUAUAUAAUUACGUAUGUUGUUAACGCUUUGACCCCUUUCUACGGAUUGUGCGUGUCUUUGUCUCGUUUAACUCAUACAAUUAAGCCCUGAAAGCAACGAACGUGACCGCAACCUCUUGUUGCUCUCAUAUUACCUUAUACUGCAUAAUAUUUGAAUAAUUUAUUUUAUUUUUUUUUAUGUUUAAGAGAGCUUUCUGAACUAGAGGGACCGCUGUUACUUUCUUAAACCAGAGGAAGGUUGCGGCAAUAACAGGUCUGUGAUGCCCUUAGAUGUUCCGGGCUGCACACGUGCUACAAUGAUUAUUGCAGUGAGCAUCUCAUUUUUUACACAUCGCAUGCGCGAGUCCAUUUAUUCAGAUAUCUUUCAUUUACUUUCGGGUGAAUGUAGUGUUUGCUUUAAAUGUGUAUCUCUGCGCGCGAUAAAGCCUGCUUCGAAAGUAAGUGGGUAAUCAAUUAGAAGUAAUGAUUUCCUUUUUUUUUCUGCACACAUAUAUAUGGCACUUAUACCCGGGUAACCUUGUUGUUACUUUUGUGCGUAUACGUGAUAAUCUUUACCGAUUAUACUACCAUAUGUGCAAUUGUCAAUUCAUGGUGGGGACAGACCAUUGUUAAUUGUUGGUCUCGGUCUUAACUAGGAAUGCCUUGUACGGAUCUUUGGUUCAACAAACCAUCCGGAAUACGUCCCUGCCCUUUGUACACACCGCCCGUC
rnacentral:rRNA from 1 species